rnacentral:rRNA from 1 species
ACGGGAGGCAGCAGUGGGGAAUCUUGCGCAAUGGGCGAAAGCCUGACGCAGCGACGCCGCGUGAGGGAAGAAGGCCUUCGGGUUGUAAACCUCUUUUAAGAGGGAAGAAGCCACUCGGGUGAAUAGCCCAGAGGGUGACGGUACCUCUAGAAUAAGCCCCGGCUAACUACGUGCCAGCAGCCGCGGUAAUACGUAGGGGGCAAGCGUUGUCCGGAUUUACUGGGCGUAAAGAGCGUGUAGGCGGCCAGACAGGUCCGUUGUGAAAACUGGAGGCUCAACCUCCAGACGUCGACGGAAACCGUCUGGCUAGAGUCCGGAAGAGGAGAGUGGAAUUCCUGGUGUAGCGGUGAAAUGCGCAGAUAUCAGGAAGAACACCGAUGGCGAAGGCAGCUCUCUGGGACGGUACUGACGCUGAGACGCGAAAGCGUGGGGAGCGAACAGGAUUAGAUACCCUGGUA